AGAGAGUUUGAAAAGUCUGGCCCAGCAUUCCUGGCUUUGCUCCUGGACUACAUGAACUCAAGUAGCCUGAAAACAGCUGCAGUGAGAGGCACUGGGCACGGAAGGUUGCUUUUCGUUUCCAUCUCUUCACUGAGCCUAAAGACCCAAGGGUAUACAAGGGGUACAAGGAUCAUUUCCACAAACUUCGGACCACCCUAUUGAGAGGAUAGCAGAUGGAAAGAACAAAGUGUGGGGUAGGCGAAAGAAGAGCCAGGCCUGGCAAUGCCUGGCAAUGGCAACCAGAG